CCGCUGCCCAGGCCCGGCUCCGCGCUCACACCCGGCACCGCCGAUUGCGCCGCUGCUGACCGGGCGGCGUCGCAGCCUUCUCUGACGUCAGCACGCCGCGGCGGGCCCCGCCCCUCGCCUUCUUCGGGGCGGGGCUGGCUGGGCCCGGGGUGGCGGGACGUGGGGCAGGAUGUGCCCCUGGGCCUGCGGGUCGGGGCCCGUCGUUCAGGCAGCUCCAGGCACGUGGGACGGAGGUGGCUGAGUUUGUCCUCACCGGAUGAUUUUCAGUGAGCUCAGAUGGAGAGACAUGAUGGACCUGCCUGGAGUAUUUGGGCACUCACAUGGAAGGGGAAUGUCUCUUGAACUUUCUACUGAUAUUUCGUCUCCUGUGCAGAUUCUUUGGAUAUUCUACAUAUACAGGCCUACCUUCUUCUUCAGGUUUCAAAGCCUCAAGUUGUCUUGAAUUCUCAAUCAGACUUUGCUGUUUCAGAUAUUAAGAUUUCAAAUAAUGUGAACAACUACAAAACACCUAAGCCAAUCCUUACCCCCUAACAAAACAAAGAAAAAAAAACCGUUUCAACUUAAAAAGGUAUUCAGGAAAUAAGUUUUAAUUCUUAUAUUUAGGUUAAAUAUCUAAGAGCUUUGAUUUAAGGUCUACUGAAUAAACAAUUUGAAGAGUUGAAUGGCUUUUUAAAAUGAGCUUCGGUUUAAGGCAAUAUUUAGAACUUUAAUUCAUGUUUUUCAAGCAGCAAUUCACAUAAGGCUCUACUAAAGCAAUCUGGCUACAAACUAUAAAAACACUUUUUAAGCAAAUUCCAAAAGAUUUAUUUUUUGUUAGUAUGAUUUCAAAUAUGCAAAAAGAAAAGAUAGUUAUUUGCUUUGUUUAAUAAAAGAUUCUUUGUGCCUGAA